rnacentral:tRNA from 1 species
CAGAGCAUAGCUAAAUUAGAAUAGCAUCUCCUUUACACCGAGAAGAUGCCCGUGCAAACCGGGCCGCACUGA